rnacentral:lncRNA from 1 species
AGGCUUUUUAAAUUUUUUAUUAUUUACUAUUAUGUGCAUAGGUGUUUUGUCUGCAUGUAUGUCUCUGUGAGGAUGUCGGGUGUCCUGGAACUGGAGUAACAGACAGUUGUGUGCUGGGAAUUGAACCUGGAUCCUCUGGAAGAGCAGCCAGUGCUCUUAUCAUCCAAGUCAUCACCCCUUGGCUUUAUUUAUAUAAACACACUUUUUAAAAAUUUUCAUAUGAGUGUAUGUGUGUCUGUGUGUGUGCCUGUGUGUGUGCACACGCACAUGCGUGUGACACAUGCAUGCCUGGCACCAGUGGAGGCCAGAAGAGGGUAUCCAAUCCCCUAGAAUUAGAGUUACAAGUGGCUGUUAGCUUCCUAAUAGGGUUUCUGGGAACUGAAUUCAGAUCCUGCAUAAGAACAAGUGCUCUUAAUGGCGUGUCUCAUCCCAUGCCUUCUAUUUGAUUUGAGACAAGGUCUCAUAUAGCACAGGCUGGUGUUGAAAUUGCUGUAUAGAUGAAAGUGAUCUUGAACCCCUCAUCCUCUUGCCUCCAUGUUCCCUGUUUCCAGACUCCUGUCUUUUGCUUGUGUGUUCUGUGGAAAGAAAAGAUGAGUGGGAAAUAAAGUUCAACUGGCUAACUUCCUCUUAAACAAUUCCUGGAGUGACCAGUCAAAUCAAAUGUGUUAAAAAAAAAAAAAAAAAA